rnacentral:lncRNA from 14 species
CUCCCUCCAACAGUUUUCUUCAAUCUUCCUACUAGGUGAUAGGCUGGCUCUUAAGUAGCAUAUGUGUACUGUAGGCUGUCCAGUGUUGCAGGCAGAGGGAUGACACUAGCACAGAACCCACAGAGGUGAGGGAAGCAUAGAAUUUUCUGUCCACCAAGGAGUAUGUGUUUCCUUCAGAAAGGGGAAAUAAGACUGUUCUUGGAAGCUACCUCCUCACCAUUUGUGCAGACUAUUUUCUCUGGUUUUCACCUGAAAACCAAACACUGGCUGUCAUCUGAGAAGUACCAGAAUUCUUCUAGACAAAACUGUUUGUAUGAGAUUUCACAGUUAAGUUUUGAAGGUCUGAAGUGGAUAAGCUUCCCAACUCAUAGAAAUUUGACUCCAGUAUUUGUAAUACCAUUUUUUCUCUUUUUGAAGUUUCUCAGCCUGUGAGUAGCUUUGAAAUGAAUAAGGGCUAGCAUUGCAGCUCUGUAAGGUGUCUUUCUUUCAAUUAGACUAUGUACCAUGUUAACAUUCUUCAGUGUUGUCAUAAUUCCUCUUUUUAUUUAUUUUCUUUUUUAAGUGAGAAUUAACUUGUCAACUGUGAAGAAACUUAGAAUUUGUUCAUAAAUCAUUGUGCCGCAGGCUAAAAUUUGUCACACUGUAAGUAAACACAUUUUCUCCUGAAAAAAAAGAAGACAAAUAUAUUAGUAUAAUUUUCCCCCUUUAGAACACAGUCUCUGAUGUCUCCAGUUCAUGACUAAAACCAAUUUUCUCCAAAUUACAUGGCAUUGUAUUAUUACAUUGUCAAGGUAAGUGAUCACCAGGAGGUUGAGAACUGCAGUCAGAUCAACAAUGGGACAAUUCCAAAAUUUAGGAAGUGAUUUUCAAUUCUUUGUGCUCAUAUCAGGCUGUUUCUCCUCACCUUUGUGCAUGGGAGGCUGUUUUCAGGAUUUUCAGGAUUUGAACCUGACCUUGAAAACCCUCCAGACCUUGGUGAGAUCUAUUACUGGGGAGAGCUUGCUAGAUUCAUCCUUGAUUCAUCCUUCAUUCCCUCUCUUGUAUUUGGAACAUGUCUCACUGUGCCAGCACUGUUGAUUUGUUAUUGAGGCUGAAGAUUUUUGACAAGUGACUCAUCACCCUGCCAGCAAUAUGUUACAUUUGAUCAUGGAGUCCUAGAGGGUUUUUAGCAAGCAAUUAGGAGGUGGAUGGGAAAAUAAUUUGUACGUUUGUCUGUUGUUUGUCUCCAGCUCUUCUAUAAUCAGUUACCUCCCUCUCUUCCGUUGUGGGCAGGAGGGGCUAAAAAAUGUAGCUGUGGUCCCUCUGGGCAGGCUGGGUUGAGCCUGGAGGUGCCUGACCUGGGUAUUCUGCGUUACUGGUGUACAAUGUGCUCCAGGAAGAUGAGAGAGGGUAAUUCUGGUGCUGUCAUGCUGCUACUUGUCCUCUUCCCCAA